rnacentral:rRNA from 1 species
UACGUAGGGUGCAGGCGUUAAUCGGAAUUACUGGGCGUAAAGCGUGCGCAGGCGGUCUUUUAAGUCAGAUGUGAAAUCCCCGGGCUUAACCUGGGAACUGCGUUUGAAACUGGAAGGCUUGAGUGUGGCAGAGGGGGGGUGGAAUUCCACGUGUAGCAGUGAAAUGCGUAGAGAUGAUGGAGGAACACCGAUGGCGAAGGCAGCCCCCUGGGCUAACACUGACGCUCAUGCACGAAAGCGUGGGGAGCAAACAGG